UUUAGUGACGUGUGCGCGACUAGUUAAGAACGAUGAUGCUCCAGUUGAGCGCAUAUGAUUAUCAAGUGAAACUUUGAACCGUUCUUUUUUUUUUUUGGUGUCAUGUGUUUGUAUGUAUGUAUAUUUAUUGAUUUUUCUACGUGCUGAACAUCUUGUGUAAAAUCUAUUUGCACUUCACACGGCGACAAUGGUCCAAUUACACUGAGAGAAAACGCAACAGCAAAAGAAGAAGUUUAGGAGAUGACAAAUUUAGCAAAAGUUGCAAAUGUUACAUUCAUCAGCAUUUAACUGGCCAUCAAACGAGAUAAUUUGAUUACAGGGCAUCUUCUGAGUCGAUCAAUGAAUUCUUAAACAAAGCCAAUAUAAGAUGGUCGCUAAGGGGAAAUAAUUUUCUCAUCCGUUGCAAACUUACUACAAAGCUAAAUCCUCAAUGGAACUCACUUUGAGCAAGCCAAAGCUCCUCGUGACAACUUGGAGUGUUUAACUACAACUACAACAACAUCAUAAUAUGCAUAUGUACAAUUGUCUCAAGAAAUCAACACAAGAAGCUACUUGGAGCUGCUAAAACGUGAGAUAAACGACAUUGAGGUAUCCUAUAAAAAGAAGAUCUUAAGCAUUUAUCCAGUAAAACCUUGCAAUAAAAGUCAUCAUAUUAGAAUACAUUUUUCCAUUUAUGUAGUAAGUCAAUAUUUGUAAUAUAGCUUGAAGCCUUAAUUCG